GGGUUGUGAGGUUAAGCGACUAAGCGUACACGGUGGAUGCCCUGGCAGUCAGAGGCGAUGAAGGACGUGCUAAUCUGCGAUAAGCGCCGGUAAGGUGAUAUGAACCGUUAUAACCGGCGAUUUCCGAAUGGGGAAACCCAGUGUGACUCGUCACACUAUCAUUAACUGAAUCCAUAGGUUAAUGAGGCGAACCGGGGGAACUGAAACAUCUAAGUACCCCGAGGAAAAGAAAUCAACCGAGAUUCCCCCAGUAGCGGCGAGCGAACGGGGAGGAGCCCAGAGCCUGAAUCAGCAUGUGUGUUAGUGGAAGCGUCUGGAAAGGCGCGCGAUACAGGGUGACAGCCCCGUACACAAAAGCGCAUAUGCUGUGAGCUCGAUGAGUAGGGCGGGACACGUGGUAUCCUGUCUGAAUAUGGGGGGACCAUCCUCCAAGGCUAAAUACUCCUGACUGACCGAUAGUGAACCAGUACCGUGAGGGAAAGGCGAAAAGAACCCCGGCGAGGGGAGUGAAAAAGAACCUGAAACCGUGUACGUACAAGCAGUGGGAGCCCCACCACUAAGCCAGUGGUGAACUCCACAUACGCAUCCUUUGCUGAGGAUACGGUUAACGGAGCGAAAGCGACGUUCAACCGCAAAAGAAGCAGAGGGGGCUUAGUGGUGGGGUGACUGCGUACCUUUUGUAUAAUGGGUCAGCGACUUAUAUUCUGUAGCAAGGUUAACCGUAUAGGGGAGCCGGAGGGAAACCGAGUCUUAAC
rnacentral:rRNA from 2 species